UACGUAGGGUGCAAGCGUUGCCCGGAUUUAUUGGGCGUAAAGGGCGCGUAGGCGGCUCUGCACGUCCGUUGUGAAAUCGCCCGGCUCAACUGGGCGGGGUCAGCGGAUACGGCAGAGCUUGAGCAAGCUAGGGGGCAAUGGAAUUCCCGGUGUAGCGGUGAAAUGCGCAGAUAUCAGGAGGAACACCGGUGGCGAAGGCGGGUCUCUGGGCAGUAACUGACGCUGAGGAGCGAAAGCGUGGGGAGCGAUCCGG
rnacentral:rRNA from 1 species